rfam:Myotis lucifugus cont2.7598, whole genome shotgun sequence.
CUUAGGGGGGCGGGGGUCCCUCAGCCCGGAUUGUGAGAGGGUGCAGGCCAGGCUAAGGGGCCCCACCGGUGCACA